rnacentral:tRNA from 4 species
GCCGGAGUGGUGAAAUUGGUAGACACAGGGGAUUCAAAAUCCCCCGCCGUAAAAAGCGUGCCGGUUCGAGUCCGGCCUCCGGUACCA